UACAGGGGGUGCAAACGUUGCUCGGAAUCAUUGGGCGUAAAGCGCACGUAGGCGGUCUGUUAUGUCGGAUGUGAAAGCCCUUGGCUCAACUGAGGAAGUGCAUCCGAAACUGGCGAGCUAGAGUACUAAAGAGGGUCGCGGAAUUCCCGGUGUAGAGGUGAAAUUCGUAGAUAUCGGGAGGAACACCGGUGGCGAAGGCGGCGACCUGGGUAGAUACUGACGCUGAGGUGCGAAAGCGUGGGGAGCAAACAGG
rnacentral:rRNA from 1 species